UCUGGUAUGAAUGGUUGGACGAAAUAUUAACUGUUUCAUAAAUAUUUAUAUUAGAAUUUUAUUUUUUAGUUAAAAAGCUAAAAUUUAUUUAAAAGACGAGAAGACCCUAUAAAUCUUUAUAUUUAAAUUAUUAUAAUUUUGUAGAAUUUUUUUAUUUUAAUAAUUAAUAAUAUUUUAUUGGGGUGAUAUUAAAAUUUAAUAAACUUUUAAUUUUUUUUAUCAUUAAUUAAUGAAUAAUUGAUCCGUUAUUAACGAUUAAAAAUUUAAGUUACUUUAGGGAUAACAGCGA
rnacentral:rRNA from 1 species